GCAUAUCAAUAAGCGGAGGAAAAGAAACCAACAGGGAUUACCUCAGUAACGGCGAGUGAAGCGGUAACAGCUCAAAUUUGAAAUCUGGCUCCUCGGGGCCCGAAUUGUAAUUUGUAGAAGAUGCUUUGGGUCUGGGCCUGGCCUAAGUUCCUUGGAACAGGACGUCGUAGAGGGUGAGAAUCCCGUAUGCGGCUGGCGCCCGUGCCCGUGUAAAGCUCUUUCAGCGAGUCGAGUUGUUUGGGAAUGCAGCUCUAAAUGGGUGGUAAAUUUCAUCUAAAGCUAAAUAUUGGCCAGAGACCGAUAGCGCACAAGUAGAGUGAUCGAAAGAUGAAAAGCACUUUGGAAAGAGAGUUAAACAGUACGUGAAAUUGUUGAAAGGGAAGCGCUGGCAACCAGACUUGGGCGCUGUUGAUCCGCUAGGGUUCUCUCUAGGGCACUCGGCAGUGCGCAGGCCAGCAUCGGUUUGGGGGGUUGGAGAAUGGCUGGUGGAAUGUGGCUGUCUUUGGGCAGUGUUAUAGCCACCGGUGGCAUGCAGCCUCCCCGGACCGAGGACCGCGCUUCGGCUAGGAUGCUGGCGUAAUGGUUGUCAGCGACCCGUCUUGAAACACGGACC
rnacentral:rRNA from 1 species